rnacentral:rRNA from 1 species
UCGGACCUUGCGCUAUUGGAUGAGCCUAUGUCGGAUUAGUUAGUUGGUGGGGUAAAGGCCUACCAAGGCAGCGAUCCGUAGCUGGUCUUAGAGGAUGAUCAGCCACAUCGGGACUGAGACACGGCCCGAACUCCUACGGGAGGCAGCAGUGGGGAAUAUUGCACAAUGGGCGCAAGCCUGAUGCAGCUAUGCCGCGUGUGUGAAGAAGGCCUUAGGGUUGUAAAGCACUUUCAGUAGUGANGGAAAAGUGUUGUGUUAAUAGCGCAAUGCUGUGACGUUAGCUACAGAAGAAGGACCGGCAAACUCCGUG